AUUGAACGCUGGCGGCAGGCCUAACACAUGCAAGUCGAGCGGAUGACGGGAGCUUGCUCCUUGAUUCAGCGGCGGACGGGUGAGUAAUGCCUAGGAAUCUGCCUGGUAGUGGGGGACAACGUUUCGAAAGGAACGCUAAUACCGCAUACGUCCUACGGGAGAAAGCAGGGGACCUUCGGGCCUUGCGCUAUCAGACGAGCCUAGGUCGGAUUAGCUAGUAGGUGAGGUAAUGGCUCACCUAGGCGACGAUCCGUAACUGGUCUGAGAGGAUGAUCAGUCACACUGGAACUGAGACACGGUCCAGACUCCUACGGGAGGCAGCAGUGGGGAAUAUUGGACAAUGGGCGAAAGCCUAAUCCAGCCAUGCCGCGUGUGUGAAGAAGGUCUUCGGAUUGUAAAGCACUUUAAGUUGGGAGGAAGGGCAGUAAGUUAAUACCUUGCUGUUUUGACGUUACCGACAGAAUAAGCACCGGCUAACUCUGUGCCAGCCGCCGCGGUAAGAC
rnacentral:rRNA from 1 species